rnacentral:rRNA from 1 species
CCCUUAGAUGUUCUGGGCCGCACGCGCGCUACACUGAUGCAUUCAACGAGCCUAUCCUUGACCGACAGGUCCGGGUAAUCUUUGAAUCUGCAUCGUGACGGGGAUAGAUUAUUGCAAUUAUUAAUCUUCAACGAGGAAUGUCUAGUAGGCGCAAGUCAUCAGCUUGCGUCGAUUACGUCCCUGCCCUUUGUACACACCGCCCGUCGCUCCUACCGAUUGGGUGUGCUGGUGAAAUGUUCGGAUCGGCCGUUUGUCGCGGUUUCCGCGUCAUGUGGCUGAGAAGUUCAUUAAACCCUCCCACCUAGAGGAAGGAGAAGUCGUAACA